UACGUAGGGUCCGAGCGUUGUCCGGAAUUACUGGGCGUAAAGAGCUCGUAGGUGGUUUGUCGCGUUGUCCGUGAAAACUCACAGCUCAACUGUGGGCGUGCGGGCGAUACGGGCAGACUGGAGUACUGCAGGGGAGACUGGAAUUCCUGGUGUAGCGGUGGAAUGCGCAGAUAUCAGGAGGAACACCGGUGGCGAAGGCGGGUCUCGUGGGCAGUAACUGACGCUGAGGCGCGAAAGCCAGGGGAGCAAACGGG
rnacentral:rRNA from 1 species